UUACACGUAAGAGCAUGUCCAGGGACACAUUCAAGAUGUGCCUAAGAGCAGGGUCUGGGCGGGUGAGCCUCAGCUGACCCACUGGUCACUCAUUUCAUCUCUGACUCUCCCCUUGCUGCUCUCUCUCCAUCUCCCCAGCUUCUCUUCUGUGCCACUCAAGCUGCCCCACAAGCCACAGAAACAACCUGUUAAUGUUCUUGGCCUGCAGUUUUUCAGACCUUAACAGGUGAAACUUCAGGGUCAAAGCCUCAUAGCACAGCCCCAGACCGUCCUCACCCCACUGCAGCCAUUCAGGAUGGCCUCACAGAAGCCUGCAAGGAAAUCAGUUCCUGGCUGGAAUUGAAUAACAAGGAGCCUCUAGAAAUCAAGAUUUGACACUGACAACUGAAGAACUUAAGUCUCUGGGCAUAAGAGAGCAUGACAGACGCUACCCCAGUCCCAGGCAUGCGGACUUGCCUCGAGCACACUAAUUCAGAGUUAAAGAACUCCUUAAAGGAUACACAAAACUGUCAUCUUUAGUUAAGAUUUCGGUGGUCUGGGGGUGAAUUCCAGGUAGCAAGAGAACAGUCUAAGGAGCAGCAGGCAACAUGCUGAAGUGCAGAGCCAGGUCAAGGCUGGAUUUGUCUGAACAGCUGGUGAAUAAGAGGGCUGUGACCACGGCUCUGAGAAAUAUGGACAGGGGCCAGCCUGACAAAGAGAACAAAGAACUGCCCAGGGGAAGGUGAAGAAGGCAACUGUCAACCCUUCAAAAAGUGAAAUGGCCUUUAGUAAGAUGAAGGCCAGCCCCUAAGAGAUGCCAGCCAAGAUGGAAUAAUGCGCAGAUUUUCAUCUAAGGGUGGGAAUGGCCUGUUGGCCUGAUCCAGGUACCCGGGCUUUUGAGAUUCCCUUCCUAGCCCCGUCCACGCACCCCCCACCCAACGCCCUUUCCCCAGCCUAGGUCCCCGAGUUUCUCAUCCGUUGCUCGCUUGUGUCUAUUGUAUGUCUUCUUCAUCAAAAUCGGCAGGGGCUAAUUAGCGGUGAAAGCAGACUCCAGCUCAUUUCCGUUCACCUCAUUAUUUGUUUCUCUUUUGGGCUGAAGCCAAACAACAAUGAAACAUUAACAUUCCCCCUGCAGAGCAGGCACACAGACACAUGGGAGCAUGUUACACACACCACACCCUCACAGCAUGCACACAUGCACAUGCACAAGCACACACACCUGCUCCACUGCUAUCGGGCUGUGCGAGGUCUCUGCGGCCCCGCUCUUUCGAGGCAUCUAGGGUAACAUCUCUUUCCAUUUCAGACCUGGGACUGGGAAAAACCUAAGAAACUGUAUAAUGGAAUGGCCCUGGGCAAGAAGGGAAAGGACGUUGGGAAUUUCCGGAAGCACAAUCCCCCUGGUCAGCACUGGUGUUAAUUAAGGGCGCUGCUGGUGUUUUGUAGGCAGCUGUUUCCUCCUCCGGCCCUCCUGUUCCCCGGGCCGCCUGGGCACCGGCGCCUGCACUCUGGUAUUCAUUGCUCUACCGUAAGCCUUGUUUCUAGCCGUUUUCAAUCAAGUGGGAGACUGUCCAAAUUUCCGUCUCAAUGAAAAUCAACUGUUCUAAAUCUAAGCUCCAAUUAAGCGUUCCAGGGGCUGGCCUGACUUGGAAUUUAAGCAGCAGCGCCGCCCUCCCUGGAGUGAGCGGCAGCCGGGGCUCCAGAUGAGGCGGGCCUGCCUCCUAGUGGCCAAGGUGCUGCAGGGCAGCUCUGAGGGCUCGAGGGCUGCUCAGCCGCCAGCCGAGGACACGGGGAGGAGGCACAGUAAGAGAAUCCUUAGAGCCUAACGCCCCCCUCUCCGUCGCCCUCGAGCCGCUCCAGUCCCCAAGUCCCAUCCCCUUUCCUUCCCCGACAUCUCUCCUUGUUGCCCCACUCUGGCUCCAUCGAACUUCUGUGGUCUGUUAGCUGGACUCCACCUCCAGCUUCUGUAUCGAAUCCAUGCACCUCGCUGCCAAUUCGUCUUCCGGACGCUGGUUGUUGAUCCUCUGUGAUCUCUAAUUAAGGCUCUGCUGAGCCUCCUCUUUAUCUAUAGGGGGGAUCCUCAAGCGGGGGGACACACCCUUCCUGGAGAGGCGUAUCGCCAGCCACGACAAGGCGAACCGCGUUUCUCCCCACACGCCCCAAAAAGCGAUGACCUUCCCCAGGCCGCGCUCACGCUGAACCCCUGUUGCUGAGCUGCAGUUCCUGGAGGUGUCCUGUCCUCAAAUGUGGGGAAGCGGGGAAAAGAUUAAGAAGGUAAAAGUUCAAACCAGGCAAAAGUUCAAACCUCUUGGCCCUCCACAAUGUGGCCUCAAGUUUCCCUUCUAGCUUUAGUGCUAGAGUAGAAUGAAAUGAAGGGUUAGAAUGCCAGGUGCGCUACGUUUUAGUCAUGGCACUGUAUGAAAGGUUCUAAAUUCUAAAUGUCUUUGCAGGGUUGUUAUGGAGACUAAAAGAGGCCGCCUGAGUAUCAAAUUUAGCAUAAUGCUUGCCACAUAGUGAAUGUUCAAUAAAUGGCAGCUGUCAUUUUCCCUCCCCCGUUAUUAAGUUUGCUCACAGUUCUGAUACCGGCCUUGAACUGAACUUUCCAUCUCUGCAUCUCGGCUUUUGACACCCUAUUUGCCUGGAGCGUCCACUAUCACCACUUUGGUCAAAGCCACUGUCACCUCCUGCAAUAGACUAAUUCAUGUCCCUGCUCCUGCCCACACUUAUUUUUAAUCUAGCCACCAGAAUUUUUUUAAGUGUAAAUCAGAUUAUGUCACUCAUCUGCUCAAACCCCUAUUGUAGCUCCCCAUUUCACUCAGUGUAAAAGCCAAAGCACUCACCCUGUCCUGGAGGCCCUACAUGAUCUGGCUCUUUUCCCCUCUCAUAUUAUUUCCCAUAGCUUUCUCCCUUGAUCACUCUGUUUCUUCCACAAUGACCAAUUGCUUUUGCUGGAACACACCAGCAAUUUAUUAAUAGCCUUUGUGUUGGCUUUUCCCUCUACCUAGAAUAUUUUCCUCACAUACCUGCAUAGCUCUUUCCCUUACUUUUUCAUGACUUUGCUCAGUUGUCACCUUCAAAAAAAAAAAAAAAAAGCCAGCCAGGUGUGGUGGCUCAUACCUGUAAUCUCAGCACUUUGAGAGGUGAAGGCGGCAGACAGCUUGGGCCCAGGAGUUCCAGACCAGCCUGGGCAACACAAGGCAAAACCCCAUCUUUACAAAAAAUACAAAAUAUAUUUUUUGUAGAGGACGGUGGCA